GAACUCUGGUAUUGAUUGGUGCUUGCAUCAUGAUUUACAUUUGAGUGAGUGGCGAACUGGUGAGUAACACGUGGGAAACCUGCCCAGAAGCGGGGGAUAACACCUGGAAACAGAUGCUAAUACCGCAUAACAACUUGGACCGCAUGGUCCGAGUUUGAAAGAUGGCUUCGGCUAUCACUUUUGGAUGGUCCCGCGGCGUAUUAGCUAGAUGGUGGGGUAACGGCUCACCAUGGCAAUGAUACGUAGCCGACCUGAGAGGGUAAUCGGCCACAUUGGGACUGAGACACGGCCCAAACUCCUACGGGAGGCAGCAGUAGGGAAUCUUCCACAAUGGACGAAAGUCUGAUGGAGCAACGCCGCGUGAGUGAAGAAGGGUUUCGGCUCGUAAAACUCUGUUGUUAAAGAAGAACAUAUCUGAGAGUAACUGUUCAGGUAUUGACGGUAUUUAACCAGAAAGCCACGGCUAACUACGUGCCAGCAGCCGCGGUAAUACGUAGGUGGCAAGCGUUGUCCGGAUUUAUUGGGCGUAAAGCGAGCGCAGGCGGUUUUUUUAAGUCUGAUGUGAAAGCCUUCGGCUCAACCGAAGGAAGUGCAUCGGGAAACUGGGAAACUUGAGUGCAGAAGAGGACAGUGGACUCCAUGUGUAGCGGUGAAAUGCGUAGAUAUAUGGGAAGAACACCAGUGGCGAGGCG
rnacentral:rRNA from 1 species